AUACACUCUGGACUAUACAAUUUAUGAAACUGAGCUCAACAACCAGCCAAUCAGUUAGCUCCUCAUAACAAGUCUAACUGGCUCUGGAGAGCUGAAAGUGCUGCAACAGAACAAUAAAGAUGAGCUAUCCCACACAUUAAUCUGCUUAUCUGGGAUUGCUUUCUGUCAGAGAGGGAGAAAAAUAAAAAAAGAAAAUCACAGCUUCGUUGUUUAAACCAAAGAAGAGGUGACUUGUAUCAACCUAACAAGAUACCUGGAGACA
ensembl:misc_RNA